rnacentral:rRNA from 1 species
CGUUCGGAUUGCAGUCUGCAACUCGACUGCAUGAAGCCGGAAUCGCUAGUAAUCGCGGAUCAGAAUGCCGCGGUGAAUACGUUCCCGGGUCUUGUACACACCGCCCGUCACACCAUGGGAGUCGGAAAUGCCCGAAGCCGGUGGCCUAACCGAUAAGGGAGGAGCCGUCGAAGGCAGGUCUGAUGACUGGGGUGAAGUCGUAACAAGGUAAC